AUUGAACGCUGGCGGCAGGCCUAACACAUGCAAGUCGAGCGGAUGAUGGGAGCUUGCUCCUUGAUUCAGCGGCGGACGGGUGAGUAAUGCCUAGGAAUCUGCCUGGUAGUGGGGGACAACGUUUCGAAAGGAACGCUAAUACCGCAUACGUCCUACGGGAGAAAGCAGGGGACCUUCGGGCCUUGCGCUAUCAGAUGAGCCUAGGUCGGAUUAGCUAGUUGGUGAGGUAAUGGCUCACCAAGGCGACGAUCCGUAACUGGUCUGAGAGGAUGAUCAGUCACACUGGAACUGAGACACGGUCCAGACUCCUACGGGAGGCAGCAGUGGGGAAUAUUGGACAAUGGACGAAAGUCUGAUCCAGCCAUGCCGCGUGUGUGAAGAAGGUCUUCGGAUUGUAAAGCACUUUAAGUUGGGAGGAAGGGCAGUAAGUUAAUACCUUGCAGCUUUGACGUUACCGACAGAAUAAGCACCGGCUAACUUCGUGCCAGCCGCCGCAGUAACAC
rnacentral:rRNA from 1 species